rnacentral:rRNA from 1 species
GACGUAGGGCGCGAGCGUUGUCCGGAUUUAUUGGGCGUAAAGAGCUCGUAGGCGGCUUGUUGCGUCGGCUGUGAAAACCCGAGGCUCAACUUCGGGCUUGCAGUCGAUACGGGCAGGCUAGAGUUCGGUAGGGGAGACUGGAAUUCCUGGUGUAGCGGUGAAAUGCGCAGAUAUCAGGAGGAACACCGAUGGCGAAGGCGGGUCUCUGGGCCGAUACUGACGCUGAGGAGCGAAAGCGUGGGGAGCGAACAGG